AGCACACUUUGUGUUUAGUGCUACCUUGUACACUUUGAAUCCCACAGUGUCCUGCAGAAUUAUCACUGCCUCCUUAGGAGACUAGAGAACUCCUGUCCUCUCAUCCUAAUAUAAAGAAUGUUCUAGCUCUGCAAUCACCCUAAAGGAGGCAGGGGAACACCUUUAGGAACUUAAAAUGCCAACAUGUAGUGGAUAUAUUCAUUUUUUUUUCAUAUAUGGGGUUUUUUGCUAAUUGAUUUUUUUUUUUUUUUUUUUUGCAGCUUCUGUUUUUCCCAGUGUUACACAUUACAUUUCUGAAGCAUAUGAUGAAUGGGAUGCUGUGCAGCUGAAAAAUCACACAUCUCAAAUGGCUCACUUGGCUCUCCCAUACUAAGCUGACUGCCUGAGUUGCAGCUCUCUGACAAGGGGAAUGGUUGCUUUACUCUCAAAAUACGGUAAGUCUUAAAUAUAACAUAAAGGAGCCUUCACGUUGCAAGAAUAAACACACAUGCAUAUAUAUACACACACGUGUAUAUAUAUAUAUAUAUAUAUAUAUAUACACACACACAUACAAACAUGAAAAGCAACUCUGUCUUCCUUUUCUUGCACUGGAAAUACUGUUUUUCAGGCUGACUUCUUC
rnacentral:lncRNA from 1 species